UCAUGUGGCUAAGAAAUUUAUUUUGUAUUUCAUCAUUAAGUUUUUGCAGAUUGUGGGCUCGGAGUUCCAAAAACAUGACUAAAACCUCAGAGUUAGGCAGACAUUUUUUAUCUUUCUUUUUGCAGAUGAUAGAUCGGCUCAGGUUCUCCGUCUAAGAAAGGGGGAAGAGAUCUUGCAAAAUUAAGAGGUUCUUACUAAUUUCUUCAUGAUGUUAAUUUAUGAAUAUAAUGAUGUCCCCUGCCAUCGCGACGCCGUCGCCACAUCUCUGUCGCCGUCGACCUUAGAUCGUUAUUCCGAAGUAGAAACCCUAGGUCCCUAGCCGCCGCCAUCGUAACCCCGUCGGGCGCAUCUCCUUCGCCGUCGCUGCAUCUGUUUGCCGUUGAGAUGGGUCGUGCAGUGGUGGAUGGCUGCUUUGAUUUGCUGGUGACCAUGUAUUUUUGGAAUGUUUGGAAACUUGUUUUUUGUUUUAAUCUGUAUUGGGUAUUGACUUUCUGUAUUUUAUUUGUUUGGUUGUUGAGAAACUUGAAGGAAAAAAGCCCAAAUUUAUUUCCUUCGUCAUUUUCA